AUUGAACGCUGGCGGCAGGCCUAACACAUGCAAGUCGAGCGGAUGAAGGGAGCUUGCUCCUGGAUUCAGCGGCGGACGGGUGAGUAAUGCCUAGGAAUCUGCCUGGUAGUGGGGGAUGACGUCCGGAAACGGGCGCUAAUACCGCGUACGUCCUGAGGGAGAAAGUGGGGGAUCUUCGGACCUCACGCUAUCAGAUGAGCCUAGGUCGGAUUAGCUAGUUGGUGGGGUAAAGGCCUACCAAGGCGACGAUCCGUAACUGGUCUGAGAGGAUGAUCAGUCACACUGGAACUGAGACACGGUCCAGACUCCUACGGGAGGCAGCAGUGGGGAAUAUUGGACAAUGGGCGAAAGCCUGAUCCAGCCAUGCCGCGUGUGUGAAGAAGGUCUUCGGAUUGUAAAGCACUUUAAGUUGGGAGGAAGGGCAGUAAGUUAAUACCUUGCUGUUUUGACGUUACCAACAGAAUAAGCACCGGCUAACUUCGUG
rnacentral:rRNA from 1 species